GUAUAUAUCCGGCUAUAAAUUUUGCGUGUACCUACACAUUUGUGUACUAAAAAUUGUCAAGAGUCGUUCAUCACAGUGACAUGUAUACAUUUUUUAGUUGCUACUACUCUCUAGCCUAGACUAGGUCGAUAUGGUAUGAAUAGUUCAGUUAAAUCAAGAAUUUAGCCAUAUGUAAACAGGCCACAGCUUGAAUUAUUGUUGUAAUAACUCAAUUAUAUACUAAUAUUACACUAUGUUACUAUCAACUGACUAUGGAUUUAAGUUUAAUAAAUAUAUAAAUCUGUAUAUAUACUAAUUUUGAAUUAUUUUUUUUUAAAUUAUUGUAACUAUUAUCGACACAACUACAUGUAUGAGUAUACGUAAUUUUUAAUUGUUAUUGUUUCUUUGUACAGUCAUUUGGUUUUGUUAUGUCAAUGCUAUGUAGCAUGGUGGAACUAAUAUUUACUUUUUGUUGAGUUGUAGCACAAUGUUGGGUAGAUCAGUUAGAGACCUUGCUCGGCCACAGAACACGGCCAAGGGUUGUAACAGUUGGACCAGAGACUUGGACAACAAGGACACACCAGUUUUUACAGAUGGGUUACCAGACUGGACUGGAUUCACGACUCAUCACGCCACUAACUCAACUCCUUUGGUCACAUACAUUUGUACAUUGAAUCAUCAUCAGAUGUUAUUUAUGCAAACCCCUAGAGCUUUGCAUUGGUAUGAUCCAGUUGAGAAUUUUUCAGGUAAUCGUCAGAUUUACUAGUUAAAAGCAGUAUAUUACUUUUAAGUUAAACCCCCUCAUGUACAAAAUGUACAUGUGAUUACAACAUAUAACAAACAUAUUUAUAUAGAUUAAGACAACUUUUUCUAAUCUUAUGGGUUAGAUUGAAAAGAUUUGUGUAACGUUUAUAUCUCAGUUUCUAAACUUAAAAUUGCUGAAUGUGUUACUUUUACAAAUUUAUAUGGCCUUACAAUGAUGGGAUGCCGCAUCAUGUGUUUGAAAUAAAAAAAAAAACUUUCGUAAAUAUGAGGUUACAUUCUAUAUAAUUGUUAUAUAAUAUAUUACAUUGAAACUUUUAAAUGUUGUUUGGUAUUUAUCACAUUUUGAAUGGAGGACGC
rnacentral:lncRNA from 1 species